ACCCUUUCAGCUACGCACCUGGAGAGUUUCCAGUACUCUACCAGUCUCGACUAUGGGAGGGAGAGUCAAGCAGAGCCACACCCAUUCCAUUCCCAGCUUGGUCAGUGGCUAGUGAGUGGAAGGCAAUCUGCUACAAGU
rnacentral:snoRNA from 1 species